CGGGGCGUGGCGCAGUCUGGUAGCGCGCCUGCUUUGGGAGCAGGAAGCCGUAGGUUCGAAGCCUAUCGCCCCGA
rnacentral:tRNA from 1 species